UCAUAUGGAAGGAACUAUCAGAACAUGUACCCUCAUGCCGAAAUCAAGAAAACUUGGAAUAGAGGAUGAAGACCUGCAGUCUCACUGCUAAACCACAGCUGUGCCCAGGGUCCAGGCAGAACCCUCACCCAAUGCCUCAGACCAAAGUCAUAGGAACCGUGCAUGCUGAACUCUGCACUGGAGUCCACAAGGGUUCAAAUCCCAACUCUGCUUAUUAGCUCUGCAACUUUGUAAAAGCCUCUCAACUCCAGCACACCCUCAGCCUGAGCCAGCAGACUGGUGAGAACAUGUGGACCGAAGAGUAAAACAUUCUCUGAUCUGUAAUCUGAUCAGGCCACUCCACCCCGAUCUCACAUGUCUGAUUCUUUCUACCCUUUUUUACUCUUUCCCACAAAAUAAAACCAUUAUUGCCUCA